rnacentral:rRNA from 1 species
UCAAGCUACUAAGGGCGUACGGUGGAUGCCUAGGCAUCGAGAGGCGAUGAAGGACGUGGGCAGCUGCGAAAAGCUCCGGUUAGCCGCUAACAGGCUUUGACCCGGAGAUUUCCGAAUCGGAAAACCGGGAUGAGAGUAAUCUCAUUCAUCAUCUGCUGAACACAUAGGCAGAUUGAAGCGAACGCGGGGAACUGAAACAUCUAAGUACCCGCAGGAAAAGGAAACAACAGUGAUUCCCGAAGUAGCGGCGAGCGAACCGGGAACAGCCUAAACCGUGUAUGUGUAAGCUUGCAGGCGUUGCAUGCACGGGGUUGUGGGGCUUCUUCGAUUGGACUGCAAUUCAAUCAUGAAGUUAAAAAAGUAAUUGGUAGUAGAACGAUCUGGAAAGGUCGACCACAGGGGGUGACAGUCCCGUAAACGAAAUCAAUUGCACUUCAUAGAAUGUCCCCGAGUACCGCAGGGCACGGGAAACCCGGCGGGAAUCUGGGAGGACCAUCUUCCAAGGCUAAAUACUCCUCGAUGACCGAUAGUGAACGAGUACCGUGAGGGAAAGGUGAAAAGAACCCCUGUUAGGGGAGUGAAAUAGUACCUGAAACCGUGCGCCUACAAACAGUGGGAGCCCUAUGCUCUUUUUAAGAGAAUGGGUCACCACGUACCUUUUGCAUAAUGGGCCUGCGAGUUACGUUAUGUGGCGAGGUUAAGCCGAGAGGUGGAGCCGAAGCGAAAGCGAGUCCUAACCGGGCGAACAUAGUCGCAUGACGUAGACCCGAAACCGGGUGAUCUACCCAUGGUCAGGUUGAAGCUAGGGUAAGACCUAGUGGAGGACCGAACCCACUGAAGUUGAAAAUUCAGGGGAUGAACUGUGGGUCGGAGUGAAAGGCUAAUCAAACUCGGAGAUAGCUGGUUCUCGCCGAAAUAUAUUUAGGUAUAGCCUCGGAUGAUUUGCGCCGGAGGUAGAGCACUGAAUGGGCUAGGGGUCUCACCAGAUUACCAAACCCAAUCAAACUCCGAAUGCCGGUGACAACAGUCCGGGAGUCAGACGUUGGGUGAUAAGGUCCAACGUCGAAAGGGAAACAGCCCAGAUCGUCAGCUAAGGUCCCCAAGUAUGUGCUAAGUGGAAAACGAGGUGAAGACGCUAUGACAACCAGGAGGUUGGCUUAGAAGCAGCCACCCUUUAAAGAAAGCGUAACAGCUCACUGGUCAAGGGUCUUCGCGCGGAAAAUGUAACGGGGCUCAAGCACAUCACCGAAGCUACGGGUUAAAUUUAUUUAGCGGUAGGCGAGCAUCGUCGGACAGAUACUAGGUGUACCGUAAGGAGCACUACUGGGUACGACGAGAGCUAAUGCAGGCAUGAGUAGCGAUCAAGAGGGUGAGAAACCCUCUCGCCGUAUGUCCAAGGUUUCCUGGGCAAGGAUAAUCCUCCCACGGGUUAGUCGGCCCCUAAGCCGAGGCCGAAAGGCGUAGGCGAUGGGAAGCAGGUUAAUAUUCCUGCACCACCAGGGAAUGCUUUGAUCAGAGAAGGGACGGAGAAGGGUAGCUUAGCCCACUACUGGAUGUGGGUUCAUAGCAUGUAGGAUUGCGCUUUAGGACCCGAUAGGGACAAACGAAGUGCUUUAAGUCCGAGAUGUGAUGUGGUGGCCAAUAGCGGCCAGUAACUAAGUGAUCCCAGGCUUCCUAGAAAAGCUUCGCUGUUAGCACCUUUGGUGACCGUACCGCAAACCGACUCAGGUGGACAGGUAGAGAAUACUAAGGCGCGUGAGAGAACUCUGGCUAAGGAACUCGGCAAAAUGACACCGUAACUUCGGGAGAAGGUGUGCCUUUUCUAGUGAUUGAAUUUACUUCAUGAGCUGGCGAGGGUUGCAGAGAAAUGAGGGUUGCGACUGUUUACUAAAAACAUAGGACUCUGCUAAGUCGCAAGACGACGUAUAGGGUCUGACGCCUGCCCGGUGCCGGAAGGUUAAGAGGAUCGGUUAGCCAUUAGGCGAAGCUGUGAGUCGAAGCCCCGGUAAACGGCGGCCGUAACUAUAACGGUCCUAAGGUAGCGAAAUUCCUUGUCGGGUAAGUUCCGACCUGCACGAAUGGCGUAACGACAUCCCCACUGUCUCGGCCAGGGACUCAGCGAAAUUGAAAUGUGCGUGAAGAUGCGCACUACCCGCGGCUAGACGGAAAGACCCCGUGAACCUUUACUAUAGCUUGGCAGUGAUCUUCGGUUGUGUUUGU